rnacentral:lncRNA from 14 species
AUGGUUUCUUUUUAUUAUUAUUAUUAUUAUUUUAUUUUCCACCAGGGACAGAAAUUGCUGGCUGAGAAUCCGAGGCCUGAACCCAAAGAAAACAUGUCUCAAGAGCAGCGUAACUGCUCUGGCCAAGGUUUUCCUUUCUUCCUCUCUGCCUUACUCCAGCAGGCUGUAGAAUCCAAAAGGCAGCUGCAGAGUGUGGCUGCUGUGUCACUUUGGUCAGCAGGAUUGGAAGAGAGCCAUCAUCUGCUUCCUCAACGGUCUGCCAGCCUCUAUGUUUGGAAAGGCAAAUCUGAAAGGAAGCUCUUGAGCACUCUACUGUGCGAGUUCCUCAACUGAUGGCUGUGUUUCUGCUCCUCAUUCUACACGUUUUCAAAUCAUUUUGAUGCUGGGAAUAAAUCUGAGUGCAUAACAAUCA